rnacentral:rRNA from 1 species
GCGGCAGCACGGGAAGCUUGCUUCCUGGUGGCGAGCGGCGGACGGGAGAGUAAUGCAUAGAAAUCUGCCCGGUAGUGGGGGAUAACCUGGGGAAACCCAGGCUAAUACCGCAUACGUCCUACGGGAGAAAGCAGGGGAUCUUCGGACCUUGCGCUAUCGGAUGAGUCUAUGUCGGAUUAGCUUGUUGGUGAGGUAAUGGCUCACCAAGGCGACGAUCCGUAGCUGGUCUGAGAGGAUGAUCAGCCACAUCGGGACUGAGACACGGCCCGAACUCCUACGGGAGGCAGCAGUGGGGAAUAUUGGACAAUGGGCGAAAGCCUGAUCCAGCCAUGCCGCGUGUGUGAAGAAGGCCUUCGGGUUGUAAAGCACUUUCAGUGGGGAAGAAAGCCUUGGGGCUAAUACCCUCGAGGAAGGACAUCACCCACAGAAGAAGCACCGGCUAACUCCGUGCCAGCAGCCGCGGUAAUACGGAGGGUGCGAGCGUUAAUCGGAAUUACUGGGCGUAAAGCGCGCGUAGGCGGUCUGAUAAGCCGGUUGUGAAAGCCCCGGGCUCAACCUGGGAACGGCAUCCGGAACUGUCAGGCUAGAGUGCAGGAGAGGAAGGUAGAAUUCCCGGUGUAGCGGUGAAAUGCGUAGAGAUCGGGAGGAAUACCAGUGGCGAAGGCGGCCUUCUGGACUGACACUGACGCUGAGGUGCGAAAGCGUGGGUAGCAAACAGGAUUAGAUACCCUGGUAGUCCACGCCGUAAACGAUGUCGACUAGCCGUUGGGGUCCUUGAGACCUUUGUGGCGCAGUUAACGCGAUAAGUCGACCGCCUGGGGAGUACGGCCGCAAGGUUAAAACUCAAAUGAAUUGACGGGGGCCCGCACAAGCGGUGGAGCAUGUGGUUUAAUUCGAUGCAACGCGAAGAACCUUACCUA